rnacentral:rRNA from 1 species
GAUGAACGCUGGCGGCGUGCCUAACACAUGCAAGUCGAGCGAAGCAUUGUUGCUUGCUACCAUUCUUAUCGGCGACCGGGUGAAUCACGCGUGGGUAACCUGCACUAAACCACGGGAUAACAAUGAAAAAUCAUUGCUAAUACCGGAUCAGCUUACAAUAUCGCUUGGUUGGGUCCGCAAUGAUUUAUCUGUUUAGGAGGGGCCCGCGUUGGAUUAGCUAGUUGGUAGGGUAACAGCCUACCAAGGCGACGAUCCAUAGCUGGUCUGAGAGGAUGAUCAGCCACACUGGGACUGAGACACGGCCCAGACUCCUACGGGGGGCAGCAGUGGGGAAUAUUGGACAAUGGGCGAAAGCCUGAUCCAGCAAUGCCGCGUGAGUGAUGAAGGCCUUAGGGUUGUAAAGCUCUUUUACCCGGGAUGAUAAUGACAGUACCGGGAGAAUAAGCUCCGGCUAACUCCGUG